CUGCAUGAAGGGAAGAGAGAGAAGGAGAGAGUGAAGGAGGGGAGGGAGGAGGAGGAAGGGAGCCUUUCACCAGGGACAGAAGGGAAAGAGUCUCCGUUUCAAUGGAAUAUAAACUGCGCAAUUUCUUUAAGGACAGCCCGCUCUGAUCGCGGCGGAUCGGUCCCUCUCUAGGAAACGGAUAUCAGUAUGGUUUUUUUUUUUGAGGGGGGGGGGGGGAUGAUUAGGGAAUCCGUGCCCAUCGCUUCCCUGCGCUGCCUUGGAGGUUACAGGAGCUGGCGAUUUUUUACCAGAUCGGUCUUCAGAGGAGGAAACGAGCUGUGCAAUCAUUCAGAAAGGUUAUAUGACUGUGCAGAGAUGCAAGAUCAGUGAUGAGUCCAUCCGUCAUGUCUUGGGCGAACGCAUCAACAUUUUCUUCAGCCCGGGCUGUGAUCUAUCUGCGUGCACGGGAGCUCCCCGUGUCGACAUUUGCACCUAAACGGGUUAUGGAUGUUGAAUGGGUUGAAUUUUUUUUUGGGAGAGGGUUUUUAGCGGGCUGCGUCAUCCCUGGCUGGGGGGGAAAAAGAUGGUCUGCUUUGCAGAUUUUCCACUAUUACACUGUUUUAACCGCGAGGGUCAACCCGGUAACGUUACGGCACAUUCUGGAUUGCACAAAGAAGAGGAGUGAGGACCAUGGCUAAGCAUUGCUGUGCUUCGUUUGAAGGACCCCCAGCCCCUGACUGAAGCCAUGAGUGAGAUGUCUCACCUACUGUAGUCAAGAAUGGGCAAAUGUCAAAUUGCCGAUACUGCCCGUCAAGAUGGACUGCACAGUGUGGGAAUGAUGCCAUUCCUUAGUGAUGGGGAGCCACCUGCAUUUCGCUUCAAGCACCCACCUGUCCAGGUACAGGCAAUAUCUGGCCCACCCAGUUCCAGUCAGUAGACACCCAGAGUGUGCUCAGCAAGGGGCAGUCAUGCAGUCUGGAGCCGGGGGUCCUGGUGCCCUGGCUUCUUUAUGGAGGGGGAGGAGUCUAUAGGAUUCAGUGAGUAAGCAGUAACACUUCCUAUAUUUCCUCCAGCCUAUGCCCUGGUCAGAGAGUGCAGCGUUUCCAUGCUGUAUUUUCCAUACCAUUACCCCCACCCUCUCUCUCUCUUUCCACCUCUGCUUUCCAACUGUACUCUUUCUCUCCUCUCUGGAAUUCCAUCUUCCUGCAUGUGGCCGGCACUCAAGAGGGCAUGCUGUGUGUGUGUGUGUGUGUGUGUGUGUGUGUGUGUGUGUGUGUGUGUGUGUGUGUGUGUGUGUGUGUGUGUGUGAGAGAUAUAGGAAACAUCUCCUGGUGAAGGAAAGGAAACAUGAAGCAUGCAUUUUCUGUAACAUGCCAACAAGUGGGCACUACUUGUUCCACUGCCCCAGCCUGAAAGCUCUGUAGAGCUCAAACAUGGUUUCUGUACUGACUGUAAAUGCAGCACAUUUUGUAUCAACACAUUUAGUGAAGGGCAAUGAAGAGCAUACUCGUUAGAAAACAUUAUAGUUGACUUUUGAAUAGUUUUGGUUGUUUGUUCAUUUGUCAGUACUUUAAGUAACAUUGAUCUGGAAUGCCUUUCCUUUGUUCAACAAAAGUGGUUUCUUUGAGAAAACAGACAAGACACUGAACACUGUGGAAGAAGGGAAAGAAAGUUCAUAAUGCAAUACAAAAAGAACUGACUUUCAUUCACGUCAAGAACAACUUACUUACUUACUUUUGUAUUUCUGGCUAUCGUUGCUAUUGGUAAUGAAGGAGGUACAAACACAAGCAGUUGACAACUUUUAAACAAACCCCCAGCACAGCUAACGGUAUUUAGAAGAGAAGACGAUGGCAAAUGGUGACAUUAUUAGCCAAAUGAUCUGUUGUAAACAUCUAGUGAACACGCCCACUUCCGGGUUCGACUUUGACCUACCAUUCUUGCAGUAGUUUUACAUGUGCACAGUUUUCCUCUGCAAUUAGGAAUUAUUGUCUGACUGCUCUGGUUUCUCGCCCAGUCCGUCGUAAAUGAUGUAUACGACAGUCAACUUAACUUUGCCAAUAAGACCCAAGUUGUAAUAAACUGGAAUGUACACAAAAAGUACACAAAACUUAGUUUACGAAGAGGAAAUGGCAGUAACGCAAUCAUCUAAUCGAAUCCAUUUGAUUAUAAACGGACAGUAGAAUCCAAUCAAAACACUAACCGUAUGCGGACAGAAGUCAGUACAUGCAGGACAAGAGUCUUCCAGUGGUCAUGUUGUACCACAACUGGAUUCUAUACCUAGAAGCCAUUGUUCUGUCGAGCCACAUGUUAGCUGUUUCUUAUGCUACACCCUUAUCGCUGUAUGGCUUCACACAUCUGUUGGUACGGAGAUGUUGGUGCAGUAAAUUCACAUCUGGGCAGCAACACACGCUGCAGAGUUUUAUAACCCCGAUCGAAGGUUAUCUGCAUCUGUAUCUAUCUGUAUAAUCACCGGCGUACUGUACUGUAGGUCAGAGCACAUCUCCGUCAGGCUUGCAUCACACUAAUGAAGAACAGAAAUCAAGGUACAGAGUGAACACAGAGGCUCCUUCUGCUCCCCAAUCCCAUCUGUUUGACACACAGAGGUAGGGAGGAGAAGGAUGGAGAGAGAGAGAGAGGGAGGGGUGGUAGACGAAUGAGAACGAGGCCAGAUCAGGCUGAGGGAGGGAUGAGGGGGUGGAAAGGGGGGAGGUGCUGUUUAGAGAAAGGCAGUGAGUGAAAAAAAAAAUCUGAGAGGCAGGCUGGGGGGUUGGGCUCCAAGCCUCUGCAUGUGUAUGUGAGAGAGAAAGCAGCAAGCGAAUGUGUGUCGUUUGUGUGUGUGUGUGUGUGUGUGUGUG